GCGAGGCCGAAAGGCGUAGUCGAUGGGAAACAGGUUAAUAUUCCUGUACUUGGUGUUACUGCGAAGGGGGGACGGAGAAGGCUAUGUUAGCCGGGCGACGGUUGUCCCGGUUUAAGCAUGUAGGCUGAUUGUCCAGGCAAAUCCGGAUAAUCAAGGCUGAGGUGUGAUGACGAGGCACUACGGUGCUGAAGUAACAAAUGCCCUGCUUCCAGGAAAAGCCUCUAAGCAUCAGGUAACAUUAAAUCGUACCCCAAA
rnacentral:rRNA from 1 species